CUACCUCCGGAUGAGGAAUACCAUCUCGAAAGGGGUGUUAAUACCGCAUAACACUUUGAUGACCUUGGUCAUCAUUGUCAAAGUUGGGGACUUCGGAAACGAAACCUGACGUCUGGAGAGGGGCUCGCGUCAGAUUAGCUUGUUGGUGGGGUAACGGCCUACCAAGGCAACGAUCUGUAGCCGGACUGAGAGGUCGAUCGGCCACACUGGAACUGAGACACGGUCCAGACUCCUACGGGAGGCAGCAGUGGGGAAUUUUGCGCAAUGGGGGAAACCCUGACGCAGCAACGCCGCGUGGGUGAAGAAGCAUCUUGGUGUGUAAAACCCUGUCAUCAGGGACAAAAGUGUACGGUGGAAUAUAUCGUGCAUUUGAUGGUACCUGAGGAGGAAGCCCCGGCUAACUUCGUGCCAGCAGCCGCGGUAAUACGAGGGGGGCAAGCGUUAUUCGGAAUUACUGGGCGUAAAGCGCGCGCAGGCGGUUUGUUAAGUGAGAAGUGAAAGCCCCGGGCUCAACCCGGGAAUUGCUUCUCAUACUGGCAGACUCGAGUGUGGGAGAGGAGGAUGGAAUACCCGGUGUAGCGGUGAAAUGCGUAGAGAUCGGGUGGAACACCAGUGGCGAAGGCGGUUCUCUGGACCACAACUGACGCUGAGGCGCGAAAGCGUGGGGAGCAAACA
rnacentral:rRNA from 1 species